CACCCGGGGAGCGAAAUCGGGGAAAGUUGCGAGGGGAAGCCGGCAGGGUUUAAAUGCGACGGAGCGGGGCUGGGAUUGGGCGCGUUGAGGCGCUACCGCCGCCGAUCUCCCCGGCCGAAGUACCUCCAGGGAGCUUGCAUGCAGGCAGGCUCCCGGUUCACAGCCCCAGCGCAGGCAGGCAGCUUGCAUCUCUACAGGCACCCAAAUACUAGUGGACUGUGCAGCAGUCCAAAUACACCCAGAAAGGGGGAUCUUCAGCGUGCGGCCGUCCAGCCACACAGCUACACCCUGGGAGGUUGCACCUUCCGGGCACCCAGCCCUCCGCUCCCCGCGCACCCGGAGAGACACCGAGAUCCGCUGCGUGAGCCCAGCCAGACUGAGCCGACAAGCCCCGAUACUCCCUGGGAGCUUGCCUCCACCAAGACGCCCAGCCUAGAGGUCUAACGCGACCCCGAAAGGAAGCGCUCCAGCGAGCGACCCCCAGGCUGCGCUUACAGCCCAACUCCACCCGAGACUGAGUGGAAGAUGUGCAGCGUGCAGCCAAUCCAGACACCCAGCCUACAGCUCCAACCUCUCUGAGCGCCGAUCGGGCAGAACCUCACAAAUCAGCUCCUCUCUGCCGCCAGCCAGCCAGCAGCUCCCCAACCCUCCUCCCGCUUUUCCUCCAGAAAGCCUCCCAAACCCGACGGCCCGGGAGCUGCUCCUCGCCAACGACCCGCUGCGAUCAUUCAGCACCCGCUCGUUCCCCCUCGGCGGCGGCAGCAGCAGCACCCCAAGCUUGGGAAUUGUAUUGUUGGAGUGUGUGUGUGCGUGUGAACGCGCGAGGGAGAUUGCUACGGAGGCAUCAACCUGUAGGCUGAGAUUUCUUUUGCGGCAGCUACCUGUUUGGAAAGCGCUUUGCGGGUGCAGCAGGAAAAGCGCACAGAGACUUAUGCAACCCCUCCUCAAUCUGGAGGCGGGCAAGUGAACUAGGUCUCCGGCCCCGGCACAGCGCAGCCUUUCCGGGGGAGGGCUCCCCAUCCCGGCUGCUGGCUGGAUCAGGACGAAGACGGAAUCAGGCAGCGGGAGGUGAGAGCCCAAGUGAAGGCAAGCGGCUUUGCAAGGCAGCGCACGCCAGGAGCUGCACCGUGGCCCGCUGGUACCUACACGUCCCCGGGAUAACAGGAUACAUUGAGUUGCUCUGAAUGGGAGAAACUCUCCAAACCUGGUGGGUGGCUCAGAUUGUGAUCAUCGGCUUAGAGAAGUUGCAGUAAAGAGAGAUUUCCCCUCCCAUUCCCACGCUCCCCCUUCUCCACAGAUUGUGGUGGCAGACACCGGACAGGUAACCCAGCAAGCCGGGCGAUGGUGCACUGGCUUCCCCGGAGCCCCAGAAAGAUAAGCCUGGCUCCCGCAUUCCCAGCACUGCUGAGCCGGAGCAGUCACUGAACCACCACCAGCAGCAGCAGCAAAAACACCCCCCACCGGAGCAGUGUGGGAGCUAUUGCGCAAUUCUGCCCAAAUUUGCUUCCCUCACUCCUUCCCCAACCCUCAAUGCUGCUCAACUCACGAGGAAACAGAAAGCUGAUUCAUGGAUCCCAGACCCAGCUUCCUCUGUGCUGCUGUCCAUAAGAAGAUCAUGGUGCUGCUGCUGCUUGAGACUUUGUUGUAAAUCCCCUCCCCCCCCUCCCCAAAUCCUGAGCGCUCGCUCUCUCUCGGAAGUGUGGUUACUGCUUGGGGAGCAGCCGAGCCUGGCGCAAAAGGGGAAACGUUGAUGCAUCGCUGUGGAAAUUCAUUGUGUGACUUUCUGGGUAUUUACUGAGUUUCAAACCGAGAUGCAGCUCUUGAAAGCUUUAUGGGCAUUAGCAGGAGCAGCUAUCUGCUGUUUUCUUAUAUUUGUCAUCCACUCACAGUUCCUUAAAGAAGGUCAACUGGCUGCAGGUACAUGUGAGAUUGUUACUUUGGACAGAGAUAGCAGUCAGCCCCGAAGGACUAUAGCCCGACAAACAGCUCGCUGUGCAUGUAAAAAAGGACAGAUUGCCGGUACAACAAGAGCAAGGCCAGCCUGCGUGGAUGCACGAAUUAUCAAAACAAAACAGUGGUGUGAAAUGCUUCCAUGUUUAGAAGGAGAAGGCUGUGAUUUGUUAAUCAAUAAAUCAGGCUGGACCUGUACACAACCGGGUGGGCGAAUAAAGACAACCACGAAAUCUGAUCACCACAGAACUCCUUGCCAAAAUUCCACAGAAACCAGGGGGUAUUGGGGAUCUUGCCAAAGAAUUUAGAUCCAAUAUGCUGCACAAUACACAGGGCUCUGCCUCUGAUAGACAGCGACACACUGCCUGUCUGAGGCCAUGUGGUUUGGAGAUCUGAUCACUAGUCCGAAAAGAAAAGGCUGUUUUCAAGAUUUCUGGGGUGUUUUUUCCUGGAAAAGGUCUCCUGACAAAUGCAGCAGCAAAGAAUUCUCGUAUGAGUGGUCUAGGUUCUGUGUGAGCUACUUACCUUAGUCAAGUUUCACUGCUGUGGAUCAUCAUCCAUUAUAUGUCAUCAAUUCAACUGUCUGUUUCUCUAUAUCUCAUAAAAGACAGCAUAAUUCCUCUACAUUAUGAGCUAAAAGUCUGUUCUACCAUUCUAAGAAGCACUGGACUAAGGAAUAUAGAUAUAAGAGAUACGCUUGGGCAUUAGCAAUACAAAAAGUUCAUGGUUAACGUUUCAUCUGCGUUAUACACCACUGUUGGACUCGAUGUUACCUACAUGUUUUGAUCUGAAGAGUCUACUGCACUGAAGAGUAUUCAUCCCAAUCAGCCUUAGAGAAGACUGUUUUGUCUAUGGGAGGACACUGAGGUGCAAAAGAGAAUCUCUUCUUGUGCCGUGGACUGUCUGAAUUGCUUUUAUUUUCUUAUACUUUCAGUAUAUACAAUAGACCAAAGAGCAAAAUCUAUUUUAAAGUGGACACAAUCUUACUGUUAACAGAGCUAUCUGGGUUAAAUUGUAGGGUGGUCUCCACAAAGACAUGAUUUCAACUCUCACAAAGCUGAGAUGUUCCUGUACAGCAGAAGUCUUUAUGGAACACUGCAGUAAAAACUAAACUAGAAAAUUACUCUUGAAAAACCACAUUAUAAACAACGAAAUGGAGCAUGGAGAGAAAACGGCGUAUGUUUGAAAAACUUUGAUGAAACAACUACAAACUGUCUACAUGGCACCUUUAUUCCUCUGUACUUAGAUUGACUUUCUCAUACUAAAAUCAUUUUCAGUUUUAACCAGUUAAACAUGCCUCUUCUACAGUUCCAUUUUUGAUAGUUAAAAUUGGAUAAUACAGUAUUUGCAAAGAGCAUGUUUGGUCAUCUGUGGCCUAUGUCUCAUCUGAUACACCAUUUAGCACCAGAAAGCAAAUUAAAGAAAAAAAAAAGUAACACUUGUUUGAAAGAGAUCAUUAAAUGUAUUUUGAAAAGCCUAAAGUUAUAUAUUUAACAGUUUUUAUAUGUUGUAUAUUUGUAGAAAAUCCUAUUUAACAAUUAACGUGGUAACUCUGACGGUCAUGACAAAUGGUUCAGAGUUAAGUUGUGUUUUAUUACUUCAGUUGUCUCUGAAGUGACAGGUGUCAUUUGCUUUCUUCCAUUAGGACAUUCUGGAUGUAAAGCAUGACGAGAGAGGACUCUGUAGAAAAAGCAAAGAAUAAUGUUGUUUCUAUUACAUAAAUGCAUUCAACCAUUGCACUGUUGGAAGGCAUUUUUUUUUGUCUUUAUGUACUGGUAAAAAUAGAGUGUAAAAUAUUUUAAUCAUGGCUUUCCAUACCGAGUUAUUUCUCUCUCUCUCUCUCCUUCUCCCCACCCUCCUCUACAUAAUACAGUAUAAAGGUCAAUUUGUGGCUUAUUCCUUGACCCAGAUUCAAUGUUUUACCUCAUCGUUAGAAAGCCCACUUUUUUGGCAUUAUCAGGUAGUGAAAAGUUAAUGCAAAGACAGCAUAGAAAAGAGGGGAAAUGAAGACCUCUCGAGGUCCCUUCCAGUCCUAUAAUCUAUGAAUAAGAUAAAAAGAUCCCUCACUCCCUAUUACAGUACCUUUCUAUAUAUGUCUGGUACAUAUUGAUAUGAUGAAAUCAACAAAUGAGCUUAACUUCUUCCUGGCAAAUGUAUUCCAGUUUUAACUAUUUCUCCAAGUUUCCACUGUAGUAUACUACCUAAUACUCCAAUUAACUUUUAGUACUAUGCUAGUUCUAUGCUACUAAAGAAAAAUAUAUAGAGACUGUUCAAGCAACCAUAGAUAAAAAAUACAGAAACAAAAAGUUAUUUUUUUUUGUAAGGCCUGUUCCACUAUUCAGGCUUAUUUAAUACACAGAUUGCAGAAAACAUGAAUUAUAGGUGACUGUGUCUUUUGAGUAAAAUAAAUGUAUAAGAAUUUCUUAUUUAAUCUUAAGGUUUUUGACCAGUAUCAAAGUAGCAAUUCAAGGCCAACCACUUGGAAAGUGUUAUGGACUGACUGCACUAUAAAUGACCAAUGUCUGGUUUAAAAUGUCAUGCAAUAAACGAUGGUAAAUACAUUUACUGUACUACUAGAACUCAAGAACCAGAUCCCUCACUCCACCAAGUUUCUGUUUUGUUUCAGUUUAUUUUUAAAGGGAGUGUAGUAGCCUUAUUUAGUAAACACAGAAAAACUAAAGAUGUUACAUUUUUGUUGCUUUACAGUAUUCAGUUUUGUGUUGGUUCAGCUAAAUUAUGGAAAUAAAGAAAAUCCUUUUAUAAGUGA